GACGAACGCUGGCGGCGUGCUUAACACAUGCAAGUCGAACGGAAAGGCCCUGCUUGCAGGGUACUCGAGUGGCGAACGGGUGAGUAACACGUGGGUGAUCUGCCCUGCACUUCGGGAUAAGCUUGGGAAACUGGGUCUAAUACCGGAUAGGAACCAUCUUUAGUGUGGUGGUUGGAAAGUUUUUUCGGUGUAGGAUGAGCUCGCGGCCUAUCAGCUUGUUGGUGGGGUAAUGGCCUACCAAGGCGGCGACGGGUAGCCGGCCUGAGAGGGUGUACGGCCACAUUGGGACUGAGAUACGGCCCAGACUCCUACGGGAGGCAGCAGUGGGGAAUAUUGCACGAUGGGCGCAAGCCUGAUGCAGCGACGCCGCGUGGGGGAUGAAGGCCUUCGGGUUGUAAACUCCUUUCGCUAGGGACGAAGCUUUUUGUGACGGUACCUAGAUAAGAAGCACCGGCUAACCACGUG
rnacentral:rRNA from 1 species